UACCAGCACCCCGAGUGGUCGGGACGAUUAUUGGGCCUAAAGCAUCCGUAGCCGGUUCUACAAGUCUUCCGUUAAAUCCAACUGCUUAACAGGUGGGCUGCGGAAGAUACUAUAGAGCUAGGAGGCGGGAGAGGCAAGCGGUACUCGAUGGGUAGGGGUAAAAUCCGUUGAUCCAUUGAAGACCACCAGUGGCGAAGGCGGCUUGCCAGAACGCGCUCGACGGUGAGGGAUGAAAGCUGGGGGAGCAAAC
rnacentral:rRNA from 1 species